rnacentral:rRNA from 1 species
UGGGGAAUAUUGCACAAUGGGCGGAAGCCUGAUGCAGCAACGCCGCCUGCGGGAUGACGGCCUUCGGGUUGUAAACCGCUUUCGCCUGUGACGAAGCGUGAGUGACGGUAAUGGGUAAAGAAGCACCGGCUAACUACGUGCCAGCAGCCGCGGUGAUACGUAGGGUGCGAGCGUUGUCCGGAUUUAUUGGGCGUAAAGGGCUUGUAGGUGGUUGAUCGCGUCGGAAGUGUAAUCUUGGGGCUUAACCCUGAGCGUGCUUUCGAUACGGGUUGACUUGAGGAAGGUAGGGGAGAAUGGAAUUCCUGGUGGAGCGGUGGAAUGCGCAGAUAUCAGGAGGAACACCAGUGGCGAAGGCGAUUCUCUGGGCCUUUCCUGACGCUGAGGAGCGAAAGCGUGGGGAGCGAACAGGCUUAGAUACCCUGGUAGUCCACGCUGUAAACGGUGGGUACUAGGUGUGGGGUCCAUUCCACGGGUUCCGUGCCGUAGCUAACGCUUUAAGUACCCCGCCUGGGGAGUACGGCCGCAAGGCUAAAACUCAAAGGAAUUGACGGGGCCCCGCACAAGCGGCGGAGCAUGCGGAUUAAUUCGAUGC